rnacentral:rRNA from 1 species
UACGGAGGGUGCAAGCGUUAAUCGGAAUUACUGGGCGUAAAGCGCGCGUAGGUGGUUAUGUAAGCGAGAUGUGAAAGCCCCGGGCUCAACCUGGGAAUGGCACUUCGAACUGCAUGGCUAGGGUGUGGUAGAGGGUAGUGGAAUUUCCUGUGUAGCGGUGAAAUGCGUAGAUAUAGGAAGGAACACCAGUGGCGAAGGCGGCUACCUGGACCAACACUGACACUGAGGUGCGAAAGCGCGGGGAGCAAACAGGAUUAGAUACCCUGGUAGUCCACGCCGUAAACGAUGUCAACUAGCCGUUGGGGAUCUUGAAUCCUUAGUGGCGCAGCUAACGCACUAAGUUGACCGCCUGGGGAGUACGGCCGCAAGGUUAAAACUCAAAUGAAUUGACGGGGGCCCGCACAAGCGGUGGAGCAUGUGGUUUAAUUCGACGCAACGCGAAGAACCUUACCUGGCCUUGACAUGCAGAGAACGUUCCAGAGAUGGAUCGGUGCCUUCGGGAACUCUGACACAGGUGCUGCAUGGCUGUCGUCAGCUCGUG